rnacentral:lncRNA from 1 species
GCUGGCGGAACGGGCCUUAGCUUCCAUGCAAGUGAUCCGAAUUCGAGUCACGGUAGAUGCCGGAGCAUUGAUUAAAUGGCAGAACGCGAAUGACCAGGAGGGAGCUGAUCCUGACGGCUUGGGCGUGGGUAUUAAAAGCGGUUUCUGAUCCGUCCAAUCUCGGUAGGACUGGGGUGAUGUACUCAUCCAUUGGGUUCAUCCAUAUGGUGGCGAGGAGGGAUCUUUUCCAAAUUAUCCUCCGAAUCGAACAUUCUCCAGUAAGGUUGGAGGCCUUACGGUCACACCUAGAGGAGAUAAUCAUGCCGGGACGCCCCUCUCCCAACCCC